UACGUAGGGGGCAAGCGUUAUCCGGAUUUACUGGGUGUAAAGGGAGCGCAGGCGGCGCGGCAAGUCUGAUGUGAAAGCCCGGGGCUCAACUCCGGGACUGCUUUUGAAACUGUACAGCUUGAUUGCAGGAGAGGCAAGUGGAAUUCCUAGUGUAGCGGUGAAAUGCGUAGAUAUUAGGAGGAACACCAGUGGCGAAGGCGGCUUGCUGGACUGUAACUGACGUUGAGGCUCGAAGGCGUGGGGAGCAAACAGG
rnacentral:rRNA from 1 species